AGCAGCCGCGGUAAUUCCAGCUCCAAUAGCGUAUAUUAAAGUUGUUGCAGUUAAAAAGCUCGUAGUUGAAUUUCGGGGUCAGUAGGCUGGUCGUGCCACCGGUACGUACUGGUCUCACUGAUUCCUCCUUCCUGAAGAACCGUAAUGCCAUUAAUUUGGUGUUGCGGGGAAACAGGACUGUUACUUUGAAAAAUUAGAGUGUUUAAAGCAGGCUAACGCUUGAAUACAUUAGCAUGGAAUAAUGAAAUAGGACGAUCGAUCCUAUUUUGUUGGUUUCUAGAAUUGACGUAAUGAUUAAUAGGGAUAGUUGGGGGCAUUAGUAUUCAAUUGUCAGAGGUGAAAUUCUUGGAUUUAUUGAAGACUAACUACUGCGAAAGCAUUUGCCAAGGAUGUUUUCAUUAAUCAAGAACGAAAGUUAGGGGAUCGAAGACGAUCAGAUACCGUCGUAGUCUUAACCAUAAACUAUGCCGACUAGGGAUCGGAUAAUGUUAAUUUUAUAAUGACUCAUUCGGCGCCUUAC
rnacentral:rRNA from 1 species